CCGCAACCCCUGCAUUUCAGUUGCCAACGGUAAGGCCGGGCGACUCUGGAUGGACUGCCGGCGACAAGCCGGAGGAAGGUGGGGAUGGACGUCAAGUCAUCAUGGCCCUUACUGUCCCAGGGCGACACACGUGCUACGAAUGGACCGGGCACAGCGGGAAGCGAGGGGGCGACCUUGAGCGGAUCCCUCAAAGACCGGUCUCAGUUCGGAUUGCAGUCUGCAACUCGACUGCAUGAAGUUGGAAUCGCUAGUAAUCGUGGAUCAGCCAAGCCGCGGUGAAUACGUUCCCGGGCCUU
rnacentral:rRNA from 1 species